rnacentral:misc_RNA from 1 species
GGCAGUCGGUGCGGAGUACUUCUUUCAAAAACUGCACGUAUCUACCGAGCUGAUUAAAAAAGUUUAUACUCUAUUUAUUUUUAUUAACUGUAAACUGUAUAAUUACUUAUUAUCUCUGUUUAAUUUUCAAUUGAUUUUUCUCAUCUCUUCUCUCUCUCUCUUCUCUCUCUUUUCUCUUCUCUUUUCUUCUCUUUCUUUCUUUCUGCUUUUCUCAAAACAAUUCAAUUUCAACAACAACAAUUUCAAGAAAAUAAUAAGAAAACAAGUUAGAUCAUUUUUUUUAAAAAAAAAAAACAAAUCCCCUUUCCCACAUAAACUCUAUAUAGAAAAAAGGAGGAGGAGAGGAAACUUUUAUCAAAGAAAGAUAAGAUUCUUCAUGAAAAGGUAAACAUCAUUAAACUUUUUAUAAGCUACUUAAUACAGAAAUCUUUUAAUAAACAUCUAUUCUUCAAAAGCGUUAGAGGAUUUAGUUAAAUCGUUGAAUUAAAGGUCAUACAUAUUAAUAAGCGAAUAAUUUAAUAUUUCGUCCACUCGGAAUGAAAUACCAUAGAUAGUAAUAAUAUAACUAAAAAAAUGCUAACAGAUUAUGCAAAUUAAUGUAAAUUAGUAGAGAAUUAAUAAAAUUAUGUGUGUUGUGUGUGUUUAUCAAAACAUGUGUAGCUCUUUCAUUUUCAAUGAAAUUGAGUUGGGUUUGUACUAUUGAGUAAUUCAUUGUUUACUCGUGUCACUCUUCAUUGAUUUCAUAUGAUUAUUCUAUCGAUUACGAAUAAAAAGUUUUUUUCCAACAAACAUCCCGCUUUUAAACGAAAUCUAUAUUGCUGUUGGGCAGUGGAAUUCAACGAAUUGAAAAAAUUCAAUAAUAUCGCUGUCAACUGCAAAAGAAUCUGCAAAAAAAAAAAAUAGUGGACAACUUUUUUAAGAGAAACGAUUGAGAUUUCUGCAUCGUAAUGCGGGUGGAAUUAAAUUUUAAAGAAUAUAUAAAUUAUAUAGGAUGAGUUCUACAAAAGUCAAAUUUAAGUUACCUAAAUCAAACAACAACUCUCUUCAAGAUAUUGACAAACUUAUAGAAGGUAAAAUAGAACAAGAGACAAAUGGUUACCAUAACAACGAUUCAAGACAAGUGAAACCUUAUACUCUGCACAUAAAUCCGGGAUUAGGCAGUCAUCUUUCCGAAAAGUCAUGGACAACUCUUACGCAGGCUAAAUUAGUUUACGAUGGACUUUUAGCCGAUCGCUGCUAUCGGCUUGAUCAAAAACUGCUUGGGAAAAAAGCCUAUUUCGACGAAAAAAUCAACAAAUUACUAAAAAAAGAUUCACAGAAGAAUGAGGUGAGCGCUAUGGAAACUGCGGUCAAAGGUCAAUAUCAAUUGCAUCUUUUACAAGAGACGAUUAUCAAGGAAUUAACAGAUAUGAUGAAAGAUUAUCAGAAUAAACUGGAUUUAUUGACAGUUAGCCUUUUACAAACAGAAAAACAUCGAAAAGACUCAAAAGAAUAAACUUGAGAGAAAUCCUUUGCCUCCCCUACUCUUCCCACUAUAUAUACUGUAUACAUCCCUUCACCUUACCCCCGUUACAAACACUUAAAAGUUACAACUAAAAAAAUAACACUUGUAUUUACUCUAAAUUGAAUUUUUACGAUUCGCAUUUAAGUGAGAAAUUUUCGGAACGAACUUUAUUAGAAAACUCGUUUCUAUCGCAUUGUAUGAUUUUUGUUCUAUUUCAUUUGUUGUUAUUUAAGAAGAGGAAGAAAAGAAGAGAGGAGAGAAGAGAAGAAAACAAAAACAGGAAAAACAACCGAGUUACUACAGCUAUUCUUAUUAAUAAAUUAACGCCAUAAAACACUGUUUCUAAUAGAGAUUUUGGUGGAAGCAGUGGCGGUGGCGGCGGUGGUAGUAGUAGUAGCAGUAGUUUUAAUUUUCAAUAGUCUUAUAGUCUUUUAAUCCUUUAAUCCAUGAGUCAAUCCUUGGUGUAAUUUAGUACAAUUAUUAUCUCGGUUUUCGUUCUCUAAUUUAAUGUAUGCAAUUGUUCUCUGGACAAUAAACGAAAAAUUUUUCUUUCUAUAAUGAAAUAUACAUAAAAACAAACAAAACAGACAAACAUACUCAUAUUCAUUCAAUUAAAUUGUAAAUUGUCUCCAUCUUUUAUACUUUAA